CAGGGGUCUCUCGUGUGACUGCCAUCUGCCCGCGCAACAUGUGUAGCCUCGUCCUCGCCUAGUCCUGGUGGCCGCAACCUUGGGGAACAGACAGGGCAGGUCUGGACCAAGGAAGAGGAGGGAGAGACGGAGCCAGGAACAGGCAAGAGGUCCCCA
rnacentral:lncRNA from 1 species